rnacentral:lncRNA from 1 species
UCUGGAGGGGCUUUGGGGGGGCAAGGCCCGGGAAAAAGGCGAGAGCAGAGGAAAAAAAAAAUCUAUCAUAGAAGAUCGCUGCUGGGGUGUUUUUUUUCUAAUUCACUGAUUACAGCCGUAUGGGGACCGCGCUACUAUUAAACUAUUGAAUUCAUGGAGACAAGGUUGAAAUUGGACCGAAUUGGCUGUCACAUGAUUGCUUCUGCCCAAUGACAAUUUGGGCUUUAAUCAAAAGAAGCCACUGUCUGUUUGAUUGAUCCAAAAAAGUCGGGAAGGAACGCCUCAUUGGGGGCCAGCGAGGCUUUAUUUACACUUUUUUCAGGGCAAAAAUACAUAUAUGUGGGUGUGGGUGGGGAUGCCCGGGAGUGCGUGGGGGCGAGGGUGCCUGCCUGCCUCCUGAUCAGCACAGAACCUGUGUGUGCGCUUGGGAGUGUGUGUGAGUGUGUGAGUGUGUGCGAGUGUGAGCCCUGCUGCCGGGCCCGCCGGCGGCUGCCCUCUAACUCCCCCGCACACUCCGCGCAUUGUUUGGGACUGUCGGGAAGACGCCUCGCACCUCACAAAUCAUCUAAGCACCUCAGUCUGACGCCUGCAGUCAUUAACAAAGUAAUCCAUUAAUCUUCAAAGUUUUGACACCCGAGAGCCCCGCAUCCCAGCCACAUAAGUUCUGCUAAGGCAGGAGGAAGGAGCAGAGGGAGAGGGGAGAUGAGACUGGGAGAAGAAAGAGAGAGGGAAGGAGGGAGGGAGGGAGAGAGACAGACAGAGACAGACAGACAGAGAGAGAAGACACAGAAAAGAGAGGAUUCAUUUUGGGGUCUCCCCUCUUUUAUUUCCAUUUUCCUCUGCCUUUUCUAAAACCAGUUACUGGAUCUCAGAAGUGAUUCCUGUUUUCCUUCCUCUCUUUCCUUCCCUCUUUUCCUCUUCCCCCCUGUCCCCUUCCCGCUCUCCUCUGUCCACCUCUCUUUCCCCAAACCCCUCCCGCAUGCCCUCGCCCCCCUCCCAAAGCCCAGCUCGGAGUCUGCGCCCCCCCCCUCGCCGGACCCGGACCCCGGCCCAUUGUUAGCCGGCUUUUCCAAGGCAGCUAUGCAUCUGGCUCCAGAGGGAAGCGGAAGACGGGGAGGCGGCUCUCGAAGCUUCCCAACCUUCCGGUGCCAUCAACUUUUCAGGAGUGGCUCGAGAAAGAUAGAUGCAUGUGCCAAGCAAGACAACAACCCCAGGUUCAUGUGUCCAAAUCUCUGUAGCCAGGGCGGCGACCAACCAAAGCAAUGCCACCCGGAGCAGGCUCCUGCGGCUCCUGGCAUUCUGGGUUUCAUACCCGUAGGGCUCGGGUGCGGUGAGUAUUUCUGAUUUCCAGGAAGUCUGUUGGAAGUUAGCAGCAGGGAAGGAGAAGACGCUUAUUCCUCUCUCUCUUUCUCUUUCUUUCUCUUUCCCUCUCCUUCUUCUCCUGGUCCUUGUCGCUCUGAUUGGGGGCUUGUUGGUUCAGAUGCAAUUCGUGUUCCCUGGCAGCCCAAAUUGUCUCCCGCACCUUUCCGCUCCUUGGCCACCAGGGAUGUUUGCACUCAGGUUCUGUUGUGGGAAACAGCAUCGCAGGUGAGAGAGGGCAACCUCAGGAGGAAUUAUAAAUGUUCUCUUUUCUCUGCUCACUCUCUCUUUUUUCCAAUUCGGAGACUUGAGACUGAGGGCAUCGUGGACCGUGCUGGAGGGUUCAAAAGAUAACACCUUUAGGUACCAAACAAUAACUUUUUAAAAAUCCACCAAGCCAGAAAGAGGGGAGGAGGCUGAGAGAGAAAUCUGAAGGUAUCUCUUUUCCCUCAAACCCUGAGGAUGAUGAUUCGCUUUUGCUUCCUUUGAAAUGGACCAAGUGAUCAGACUCCCCCAGGCCGGCAGGCAUCCGUGGCAGGAAAAUAAAUCAUUCUGAUGGCCAGGGAGAGAGAGGUUGGUGGGGGAGAAAAAUCUACGUAGAAAACAAGAAAGGCCGACCGCAGCACAAGGCUAGGACUCCUUCUCUAAGGCCGGCAUCAAAGGGGGCUUGGGUUGGAAAUUACAUAUAAAGUGGCCUCCAUCAUUGACUGGCCCACAGCAUUGCCUUACAGAUAGAGAUGCUAUUUUGGAAAAUGUGAGGUUUUUCAGUUUUCUUGCUUUUAUUCCAAACAAAGCUCUGAAGGAAGUCUGGGCGCGAUCAAUCUUGCUCACCAAAAGCCUUGACAGCUUCUGGCCCUUAAGAACACAUUUCAGCUUCGAGCUCUUUCCAAGAUCAAAUGUGGCCGAGCAAAGAGGAGAGCAGGAAACGCAAGUAAACAAGGAAAACUAGUCUUUUAAAAUAUAUCUUUCUGGCAGCAGAAAGAGUUAUAAGGCUGCUUUUAGGAAAGGUGCUUUGCAGAUUCUGGGAUAGCGGCUUUUGCCAUUUGCUUUUACCAGAAAUAAUAUUGAGGGGUUAAGGGGAGGGGGAGCUACGGAGAGAGAGCAGCGCUGCCCCCAUAUCGCUGAGGCUUUGUCAGGGGCUGCGUGGGUGAGAGCUUUCUGCUCGCCUCAGCGGCCUUAAUUCAAACACCAUCUGGAAGCAAACCCUUUUCUUUGACCAUUCAACACUGAAAUCUUCCCCAAAUCUAUUGCUUUAACCCAGGAAUCUUUUAAUAAGGACUUAUUUUUAAUAUCUUGGAAGCUGGAGGUGAGAUCAAUAUUUUUUCUUUGAAACCCAAAACGAAUGUUUUGAUUGCCAAGAUAUGGGAAAUCAUGUUGGAAUUUCAUUUAAAAAUCUGUGUCCUGAGGGAGGAAGGAUGCCUCCAAACCAGUUGCCUCUCAGCUAAAUAGCAGAUUUUGGAAACGGGUUCAAAUAGUGAUAUCCCUGAAAGAUUUCCCUCUCUGAAUGGAUAGAGCUCCCUGGCUCUCUCUCUCUCUCUCUCUGUCUCUCUCUCUUUCUCCACUGUUCCUUAUUUUACUAGGUAAUUUUAUACACUUCUCUAAAAUUAUUACUCAUAAGACUUCCGUGUUGCUUAGCCUGCUCAGUUCAGAUCUGAACAACUAAAAGAGCAGACGCUCCAGUCCUCACAAAGACUGGUUUUCCAGACUCUGCAUUUCUGAGGUGCGCCAUAUUUCGGCAGGGAGGUUGGGGUGGGGUGGGGAGUAGAUCUACUCCUUCUGUAACCCAAACUCUUUCAAAAAUGAAAAAAAAAUAUGUGUAUCAGGAGCCCCUGAACAGAUAGGGGAGAAGCAUCUCUGGCUGUGAGAGAAAAACUCAGAUCUCUACAGCUACCUGGCUUUAUACCUUCAGAGCCUUUUUCUUUUUCUUAAAAUGUGAAAAGGUCCCCUAAAAGCAGCUCCUGUGGACCCAGGAGAUACCCAAAAAUGGCUCCAGUGCCCGUUUCUAAAGAUCAGCUGAGGGAGCUUCUCAGGGGAAAGAUAGUGGCCAUGAUGAUGGAUAUUUUGGAUUGCAAACAAAAUGGCGACAUUUUUCACCUCCGUCUCUGAAAGAUACAAUCCAGGGAGAAGGAGGAUUUAUUUCUCACAUCAGAUGCUUCUGAUCCCCAGACGCAGGUGGUUCCUUGCUUCCAAUUUAGAAAGGGGAUGUUGAUGGGGAUACAGUUCUGAGGCUUACACUUUCUGAAUUUGGUUCCUUCUCCAAGCAGUUCUUUAAUCUGAAGAUGAAAAUAUUUCCCUUUCCUGUGCCUGCUUUUGCCUCUGCCAGCAAAGUAGUAGUAAAUCCAGGAGUAGAAAUGUAACAUUUAGCUCCUGUAGCAUCAUGAGAAAGAAAUACUUAUAAAAUUGCAUUUUUAUUAGAAAGAUGCCAAUCUCCCUUAUCUCCCCUCCUCCCCCUGGGGCCACAGAAGGAGAACGAGGAGGGAUGAAGGAGAGGAAAUAAAUCCAGAGAAUGCCAGAUCCCAAAUUCCAGGAUGAAGCCAAAGCUGGGACUCAAACAGUCCAGGGAAGGGCUCGGGGAGGCUCCUGGGAGUUCAGCCUUUCUUUUCUUCUGCCGGAGACCUGGGUGAGGCUGUCCGGUUCGAGCCUCCUAGCUCCCCGUGGCGAUUUUAGGAGUGAUUCUUUCCUCCUAGUGCGAUAUAGGACCGAAAAGCAUCUACUGAGAGUCCGGUUGCUCGAGAAAAUGCUCGCCAUCCUCCGCGCGGCUGGCGAUUCCCAGGGUUAAGGCAUUGACUGGUCCUCUUCGACCUAGAGGAAGAUCUUGGAGAAGAACGCCCUGCCUUACUCCCCAGCGGGGCCUCUCGGGCACCUGUGCGUCCCCGCCGCGCUUCGGCCCGCGGCCUUUUGUUUCUCCCGCACUCUGCACUCACGCAGCUUCUGCGCCUGCGGCUGGCCCCUCCGUGGCAGCUGGGAAUCAGGCUGCCCAGCGGGCUGGCGUUCGGCGGUUUGCAAAGCUGCCCGCCUCCGGGAGCUCCUACAGCCUUCGGAGAAUUCGCUGCGCUCCCGGGCGAGCCGCCCGGCCAGGCCCCACUCCGGAGCUAGAGGGCUUGCCGCGGCCUGCUCAAGCCAGUUCGCCUCUGCCUGAAUUCCACGCAGACCCCCGUCUUCGGCCAAAGAACCCCUUCUGAACACGGAUAUUAUUCAGAAUAAAAACUUUAUUUAUUUUUUUUUGUUUAGUUUCUCAGAAUGUGAGCAGCAAGGAAUGUAGAACUCUCGAAACAAAUCUAGCAUUUUUCACGUUUACAGAUUGUUUUUUUUUUUUUUUUUCAGUUUGGCCGGAUGUUACAAACCUAAAUCAGUCUUUUCAAAAGCUGGAUCCUCUCUGGUAUUAUUGCAUCAUUACCGUUUUUAUAAAGGAAUUAUAUUUCCCUUUCAAAUAAAAAAUUUUUCUAUGUACGCCAAUACACUAUUGAACAAAAGGCCCAAGAAACCUUCUGAACAAUCAGGGUACAGAAUUUCUUUAAUAUAAAUACGAACGGAUGGGGAUAAAUAAUAUUUAAAACUUAGAUUAUUCAAUGCUUGCAAAAAAAAUAUAAAUAAAUCUGACUGUUCACCAGCAUACACACACGGAAAGACGUACACUUAGUCGUCCUUGCACAGGGAGCCCCUGUUUCAAAGCGCCUUUGAUUUUUUUCUCGCUCUUUACAAGAAGUGCAAUUUAAAAAAAAUCUAAAAGUUAAAAAAAAAAAGUAAUUGCUUCCCCUCGGGAGCCAUAAUGUACGAACAAAUUCACAUUGAAGAACUCGGCUAGAAAAUUUGUUCAUAUACCCUGUUUCUGAUCAAAGAGUAGAGAAAGUAAAGGGUGCAGGGCCAGCGGCCGAGCGAGGGGGUAGGAGGAGAUAAACAUCGCUACUGAUACUGACAGCCAUUCCAGCAACCAAGAUUGCUACGUCACAUAAACUAUAAAAACGCGUUACCAAAGAAAACAAAACGAGGGGGAGGGGAAGGUAGAAGGGGCGGAGAACAGAAAAGAGAGGACAGGAAGAAUCUUAAAACAAAACAAAACAAAACAGGGAAACGACGAAGAAAGGUGGGGGCGGGGGGGGGGGACUCUCCUGGCGCGCAGCCCCGAGCCCACCAUCACAGGUGGGUGAGCUUGGGGGCUUCCUGAAUUCUUCCCUGAGAAGGAUGGUGGGCGGUAAGGUCCGUGUAGGUGGGGUGAGGCUCCCCUGGCCCGGGCCCGUGAUGGUGGCCGCUGCCCAGUGGCCCAGCACCCCCGUAGUCCAUGGCUGCCGAGGCGGCGUGGGGGAGGUGAGUUAGGCCAAAGAGGGCAGGCCCAGAGUUGCUCAUGGGCUCCACAUAGCUGCCCCCCACGAAGACGGGGCUUCCCUGUAAGUGUGGGGUCCCAUAGCUGCCGUUGCCCUGCAGGCCAUGAGCGUGCGGGUCAUAGUCGGGUGUGCCCCCUGCCCCCGCCGCGGUGUAGCGCUUCUGUGGGGGCGGUGGGGGCGCGCAGCUUGGCAGGGGUGCGGGGUAGGAGGCGGGGGGCAGCCCAUAGGCACCCUGGGGAGGCUUGGAGAAAGGCGGGGGCGACUGGGGCUCGUAUGGGACGCUGUUGACCAGCGAAUGCAUAGAGUUCAGAUAGCCGCCCGCGCCGGGGGGCACCGGGCUACGACUUGGGGACUGGCCCCCUGAUGACGUCAGCAUGCCCUUGCCCUUCUGAUCCUUCUUGUACUUCAUGCGGCGAUUCUGGAACCAGAUCUUGAUCUGGCGCUCUGUGAGGUUCAGCAGGUUGGCCAUCUCUACCCGGCGCGGCCGGCACAGGUAGCGGUUGAAGUGGAAUUCCUUCUCCAGCUCCACCAGCUGCGCGCUCGUGUAGGCGGUGCGCGCCCGUUUGGACGACGCC